GCUUGCGUAACGUUUUUCAGCCCUUUUAUCCCCGAAAAGGAAGAGGGAGAGAGACGCAUAUGCUUCGUACAUAGAUCUCUUUGAGUAUCGGGCCUUCCUUCCAUGAAGGAAAAGAACAGUCAACACGCUCCACCAGGUGGCGUCCGCGUGGUCCAUUCCAGUUUGUUCUAUUUCGUUUUCCUUCAACUUCGCUUCUUGAAGAGAAUCACAUGGUUCCUAAAUAAAAAUUCCCAAACAUCUCAUCGGCGCACAAGUGGCAAUCAUGCGCAAUCAUGCGCUUUUAUCAUCGAUUGAACCUGCAAACGCAUGUGAAUCAUAUGUUGGCGUGUGCAUACUAAUAUCACGAUUUUAUCAAUAAUAAUAAUGUAUUUGUAUUCACAAUAGUAGGAGAAACAUUAUGAUGCGUCAUAACGGCAGCAUUACCGGAGAGGCGGAGACCCGGAGAGAUGUCUUCUUAUAUCCUUGCGUCAAUUUGUAAAACCCUUUUUAUUAUUAUUAUUUAUCUAUCUAUCUAUCUACUUUUUGCUGUGUGUAUUUUUCUUGUGGCAGUAGUGUCUACUGCUCUACUCUUACAAAGAUGUUUAGGUGAUGAAUAGGGUCGACGGUCGAGGCAUGUUGAAGUGUUGAAGUUGAAGGGUUGAAUAUAUCGUAAAUUAUUAAUUUUCGUCACCAGGUGGCGGCGACUUCUGGGGAAUCAGAAUUCAGAAUUCAGAAAGAUGCAGACGACGCUGACGUUAAUUGAAAAUUGAAAUUAGAAUUCACAGAUCACAAUAUCAAUAUCAAUGUUUCUGAUCCACGUGUUUACCUUACAGUUGAAGCAAGUUAAUGCAAGAAAUCAUAACGAAAAGAAGAUUCUGGCACUAGAUCACACAUUAUUAUGGGAAAAGAAGUCAAAGAUUUCGAAGAGUCACAUACAGCUGUUCAAGUGAUCUGUGAAGAUCUACCUAUAUCUAAUUUUGAAUUACAUUGGGAAUCUCAGUUUCUCGAUAUUUCAUUGAAGGAUUGGUUAAAAUAUUUAUGUUAUCAGAAUGACAAGGCAAUUUCAUGGCAUGACACCCUGACGAUUGAUCUGAGGACCUCCCAUCCUAUGGGAGAAAGUAACCUCUCCCCACCAUCUGUCUUUGGUUUUCCCGAUCCUAUUGCUCUCAAACAUUUUAUCCGAAAACUGCAGUCAACAAAUCAGAAUUCGUAACGGCAAAGAAAAUUUCCUUUCAAGAAAUUCAUACAACAUUUAGGCAUCAGUCGUUACUGCACCUCGUUUCUUGCCUUCAAAUCGCCUCUAAACUGGAAAACGGUUACAAGGUAGUAACAGUGAAGGAUGCGGUUGACCUUCUCCAGAAGUCCAAAAGACCCAGCGAUCGUUCCACCAUUGUGAAUUCAGAGGUCCUAGUUCUCGUCACACUUAAUCACGAAGUUGACCUUCCACCAAUCAACGACUUCCUCGACACCUUUAUCUGUCAGUUGAUAAGGGUUUUAAAAAAGAAACCAGCACUGGCAAAGAUCAAGCAGUUACUUUUGAAGGUUGACGAGAUUCAUCAAGUAUCUAUGGAUUUCAUCCGCGCCAUAUACUUUGAUCAGCAGGUGAUUAUUGGGCGAAUAGUUGCUGGUCUUCGUCUUGAUGAAUCCGCCAAAGGAUUAAUAAGUGAGAAAGGAAUUUAUGAUUUCCACCGAGUUCAGUCUGACAAAGUUUUGCUGGCUGCUGGAGCGAUCACUGCCGCUGUAUUUAUCAUUCAACCAAACGCUGUUUCUGAUGUUCUGCGAGAACUUCACAUACGAACAGGAGCCUAUCCAUCAGAAGUGGCCGUGGUUUCUUCCUUGUUGGUCGGUCAUCUAGAGCCGAUUGUAUAACAGUUACAACAGCCUCAGAAACCUUCAGUGACUUCGUUUUUCAAUACUUUCUUAUCAUGUAUGUGUGUACGUGUUAUGUAAAUAGCCUUUAUUUUGCAUUCUGAAAAUUAGAUAUUUGUUAAGAUGUUAAA
rnacentral:misc_RNA from 1 species